AGAGCCAAGGGCCAGCGCCUGCGCCCUGACCUCCCCACCGCAAACCUGCGGCUGCUGCCCUUCUCCUCCAGCUGACUCAAGAGCAUCCUGGGAGAUAGAGAAUAAUCAAAGGAAAAAAGAGGAGAGAACAGAGCAGAUAUGAAAGUGGAAAAGAAAUAGAAGGGCAAGGAGGAAGAGACAGAAAGAAGGAGGCAGGAGGAGCAAAAGAGAAAAACAGGAGUGUACAGUGUUGGGAAAAAAAAGAUGUCUACCCUGCCUCUCUGGUGAGUGUCAUGUCUGAGGCAAGAACGUCCAACAUGCCCGUGAACGUGUUUGGUGGCUGAAGGUAUGCUGAUUCCAGUGUAUGCUACUGUGCCAUGCUGAAGAGCGUGAUAGACCUGGGACUGCUGCAGGGC
rnacentral:lncRNA from 1 species